GAUGAACGCUGGCUACGGGCUUACCACAUGCAAGUCGAGGGGAAACGACGGGGAAGCUUGCUUCCCCGGGCGUCGACCGGCGCACGGGUGAGUAACGCGUAUCCAACCUGCCUCUGACUGAGGGAUAACCCGUCGAAAGUCGGCCUAAUACCUCAUGGCUUCGUCUGCGGGCAUCCAACGACGAUUAAAGAUUUCAUCGGGCAGGGAUGGGGAUGCGUCUGAUUAGCUGGUUGGCGGGGUAACGGCCCACCAAGGCUACUAUCAGUAGGGGUUCUGAGAGGAAGGUCCCCCACAUUGGAACUGAGACACGGUCCAAACUCCUACGGGAGGCAGCAGUGAGGAAUAUUGGUCAAUGGGCUAGAGCCUGAACCAUCCAAGUAUGGUGGUGGAGGACGGCCCUAUGGGUUGCCCACCGCUUUUAUGCGUGGAUAAAGUUAUGGACGGUGUCUGCUAUUUUCAGGUACCAUAGAAAUGAGGACCUGCUAUUUCCGGGCCAGCGGUGCGCGGUAAUACGGGAGGCCCAUGCGCUUAUCCGGAUUUGUAGUGUUUGAAUGGGGAGCGAUGCUGGAUGAUGUGAUGUGUGCUGUGGUAAUGUGUAGACGUGUCUGAUGUUGUGAAUUUGCUGCUGCAUGUUGGUUGUCUGCUUUUGGUUACUUCUUGUGUGUUGUGUGUAGCGUCUGUCUUGUGUAUGCUCGUGCGAAUCGUAUGAAAAUUGAUGAACUGAUGUAAUGCGUCAUACGUAGCUGAGCUGAACUGCUGCCUGUGCAUAUCGGUCUAUUACUACUGACUUUGUAUCGCUCUAGAUGAGUCUCGUCCGUGAAGUCG
rnacentral:rRNA from 1 species